rnacentral:piRNA from 1 species
UGUGUGCUCAGGUACCUAUUGUAUGGAUU